UGGGGAAUUUUCCACAAUGGGCGAAAGCCUGAUGGAGCAACGCCGCGUGUGUGAUGAAGGUCUUCGGAUCGUAAAGCACUUUCGACCGGGACGAAAAACCUCUGGCUAACAUCCAGGGGCCUGACGGUACCGGGAGAAGAAGCACCGGCUAACUCUGUGCCAGCAGCCGCGGUAAUACAGAGGGUGCAAGCGUUGUUCGGAAUUAUUGGGCGUAAAGCGCGUGUAGGCGGCUUGGCAAGUCAGAUGCGAAAGCCCAUGGCUUAACCAUAGAAGUGCGUCUGAAACUGCUGAGCUUGAGUGCCGGAGAGGAUGGCGGAAUUCCGCAAGUAGAGGUGAAAUUCGUAGAUAUGCGGAGGAACACCGGUGGCGAAGGCGGCCAUCUGGACGGCAACUGACGCUGAGACGCGAAAGCGGGGGGAGCAAACA
rnacentral:rRNA from 1 species